rnacentral:rRNA from 1 species
AUUGAACGCUGGCGGCAGGCCUAACACAUGCAAGUCGAGCGAGGGGCGGCAGGGUGAGUAAUGGUUAGGAAUCUGCCUGGUAGUGGGGGAUAACGUACGGUAACGGGCGAUAACACCGCCUACUAUUAGAUGCGCCUAGGUCGGACUAGCUAGUUGGUGGGGGAAAGGACUACCAGGGCGACGACCCGUAACUGGUUUGAGAGGAUGAUCAGCCACACUGGAACGGAGAAACGGUCCAGACUCCUACGGGAGGAAGCAGUGGGGAAUAUUGCACAAUGGGGGCAAGCCUGAUGCAGCCAUGCCGCGUGUAUGAAGAAGGCCUUCGGGUUGUAAAGUACUUUCAGCGGGGAGGCGUUACCCGCAGAAGAAGCACCGGCUAACUCCGUGCCAGCCGCCGCGGUAAUAC